UGACACCAUCAUAUUGAUAUUACAGGAAGAACCAGCACCUUCUCCCCACCCAUCUCCACACUGAGUCCUCUGUUGUUUGCUUGUGUUUCUCCUCAGAGUCCAUCCAGCAGAGCUGUCGUCCUCCUCACAGCUCAGAGACACAAAGUCUCUUUUAAAGAACUGAGA